CCUAGUACGAGAGGACCGGAGUGGACGAACCUCUGGUGUUCCGGUUGUGAUGCCAAUUGCAUUGCCGGGUAGCUACGUUCGGACAGGAUAACCGCUGAAAGCAUCUAAGCGGGAAGCCCCCCUCAAAACAAGGUAUCCCUGAGAGCCGAGAUAGACCAUCUCGUCGAUAGGCCAGAGAUGUAAGCGUAGUAAUACGUUCAGUUGACUGGUACUAAUUGCUCGA
rnacentral:rRNA from 14 species